UACGUAGGGGGCAAGCGUUGUCCGGAAUCAUUGGGCGUAAAGAGCGUGUAGGCGGCCAGAUAAGUCCGCUGUGAAAUCUCGAGGCUCAACUUCGAGCUGUCGGUGGAAACUGUCUGGCUAGAGUCCGGAAGAGGAGAAUGGAAUUCCUGGUGUAGCGGUGAAAUGCGCAGAUAUCAGGAAGAACACCCGUGGCGAAGGCGGUUCUCUGGGACGGUGCUGACGCUGAGACGCGAAAGCGUGGGGAGCGAACAGG
rnacentral:rRNA from 1 species